rnacentral:rRNA from 1 species
AGUGAACGCUGGCGGUAGGCCUAACACAUGCAAGUCGAACGGCAGCACAGUAGAAGCUUGCUCUUACGGGUGGCGAGUGGCGGACGGGUGAGGAUUACAUCGGAAUCUACUUUUUCGUGGGGGUUAACGUAGGGAAACUACCGCUAAUCCCGCAUCCGACCUCCGGGUGAAAGCAGGGAAUCUUCGGCCUUUGCGCGUUUGAUUGAGCCGAUGUCGGAUUAGCUAGUUGGCGGGGUAAGGGCCCACCAAGGCGACGAUCCGUAGCUGGUCUGAGAGGAUGAUCAGCCACACUGGAACUGAGACACGGUCCAGACUCCUACGGGAGGCAGCAGUGGGGAAUAUUGGACAAUGGGCGCAAGCCUGAUCCAGCCAUACCGCGUGGGUGAAGAAGGCCUUCGGGUUGUAAAGCCCUUUUGUUGGGAAAGAAAAGCAGCAGGUUAAUACCCCGCUGUUCUGACGGUACCCAAAGAAUAAGCACCGGCUAACUUCGUG